rnacentral:rRNA from 1 species
GACGAACGCUGGCGGCGUGCUUAACACAUGCAAGUCGAACGGAAAGGCCCUGCUUUUGUGUGGUGCUCGAUUGCCGAACGGGUGAGAAACACUUGUGUAUCCUCCCCUUGACUUUGUGAUAACUUCUGGAAACUGGGGCUAUUACCGGAUAUAAGCUCCUGCUCCAUGGUGGUGGUUGGAAAGUUUCGGCGGUUGUGGAUGGACUCGCGGCUUAUAAGCUUGUUGGUGGGGUAGUGGCUUACCAAGGCUUUGACGGGUAGCCGGCCUGAGAGGGUGACCGGCCACAUUGGGACUGAGAGACGGCCCAGACUGCUACGGGAGGCAGCAGUGGGGAAUAUGGCACAAUGGGCGGAAGCCUGAUGCAGCAACGCCGCGUGCGGGAUGACGGCCUUCGGGUUGUAACCCGCUGUCGCCUGUGACGAAGCGAGAGUGACGGUAAUGGGUAAAGAAGCACCGGCUAACUACGUG